GUUCUUUCCUUGGAAACAACUUUUCUCGAAAAUUGAGAGCUAGCUAACUCACCCAGUUUCCCAUUUAUAUUGCUCCAGCUUUAUUUCUUUUCCUGUGCUGUUUAUUAAGCCAACAGAUAGUUCCAUUCUACAGGAGAAAAAACAUUUCAGAAAGUUCACACUAAUGGCUUUCAAGUACCGUUGUUGCCAAUGAGCAGAGAUGAAGAGCUAUGGUCAAAAUCUCCAAGCUCUAAAUUCCCAUAUAAUCUCCUACUCACCUACCACACUUCUGAAACUAUUCAAAGACACUCUAGGCAAAUUCACACUGCAUGAGAACUUCAUUCCCAAAUCUCUCUCUGGUUUCCUGCCAUGUGAGAUUCUCAAGGGCCCCUCUUGCUUCUUUGGUGCUUGCCCUAGAUCAGAGGCAGAACAAAGAGACCUGCUCUAGCUUGCCUAUUCUUGGGUUCCACACUGGCUUUGCCUGGACUUCCAAGCUGAGAGUAUCUCCCUGCUCCAGCAUCAUCCUACCACAACUUCAUCAUGAAAUGGAAGAAGGAGAGCAGAGAGAGAAGAAAGAUAAAAAUCAUGAAGAGGAAGAAGAAAACCCAUACUGAACUCACCAGGGGCAACUGAAAAGUAGCUUAAGCAAGGAUUUUCACAUUUGGUAAGUUUCUAUAGAUCUCACCAAGAUAGAAAUGUGGAGCCAGAUUGGAAAACAUCUUUUCUUAGGACUUGGGGAUGAGAACGACUUGAAGAUCACUUCAGAGACGGACACUCCUCCAAAGGAAGAAAGAACGAAAACUGUCUCAAAGACCAUGGCACGCAAGCAGAAAGGAGGAGCCCUGGAAAGUUUAGACAAGCAUUUUCCAAAGUGUGCUCUGUGGAAUAUUACUUCUGAGUGAUUGUAAUAGGCAUGGCAUUAAAAAAAAAAAAAAGAAGAAGCGAGCAAAAUGGGUCUGAAUAUCAAAUAAGUUUGUAAAAUGCUGGGUUGCACAAAGCUAAACAAAUUCCUUUAUUGCACAACUCUUUAGAUCCUUUGUGGGCUCUGAAAGGGAUUGCGAAUCUCAGAAUUUGUGUGUGGGAUUGGGAUUUACUAUUGUACCAUUGAGAAGUUAUUUCACCAUGGGACCAUUUUCUUGUUGAUCAUCUUGCGAAAUUUGAGUACAGGUUGGCUUUAGUUUUUCUCUGACUCGGCAGGUGUCAAUAUCUUAAGUACAUUGAAAUUAAAAUGGAUCAUUACAAGGACAAGGACUACAGAGAACACCUUUGGCACCUCUUUCAAAUUUUAUUUCUUCUAAUAAGACUUCUUGGAUAAAAGAGAACUCUAAUGUUGCUUGCUUCUGAAUCCCUCUCAUCUUCAAAACUGGAUCAAUUUCAUCGUGGCCCAGUUAAUUUGACUGAAUUCAGGAUCCCAGUUGGGCAUCAAGCCAGUCUUAAUGCCAGUUUGCUUUGACCCUGGAGCACAAGUAAUUGUUUCCUGCUUUGUUUCCCUAUAGCUGAAAGUUAAUAGAGGUGAAACCGGUCUUAGAGAUUGCCUCUCCCAGCAACCUCCGUUUACAGCCAAGGAAACUGAGGCUCAGAGAUGAGGAAGAAUUACCUUUAAACCACAUAGCCACUUUUUCUAGAAGCCAACCCUUACAAAGCCCACCCAGACGACUAAGCCAUGCUCCCCUUUCCUGAACCUCUUGGGCAUAAAGAUCCUCACAUUUUCUCCAACUUCACAUCCCGCUUGGCCCUUCAGGAGUCUGAAGCAAUUCAAAUGAACCUCUUUGCGCCCUGUCACAGACUGGAGCACAUUAAGGGCAGGAAAUUAGGCAGGGGCAUGUUUGUAGAUCCGGUGCUGAUUCCUCUUCCACUCAGAUUGUACAUCCACCAAUACGGAAUGGAUUUAUCUCUAAUUUAUUAAAGGUCGGUCAGCAUGGAUUGAUAAAGGAAAGGCCAUGUCUGAUAAACUCACCUAAAUUGAAUUCUUGGGCCACAUUACCAAAUCAGCAGACAUAAUUUAUCUGGAUUUCAGGGAAGCAUUUAGUGCUGUACCAUAUAACAGAUGCAUUUACUAAGGCAAAGCACUGUGUGACGGUUAAGUGUCAGGUGGCAGUUCUGGAAGCAGGUUUAAAAUGGCCCAGAACCCAACACUGACUGUGCUGCCAGGAGACACUUAAGAGUACAGACAGAGGGGUCGGUCUGGGGGUCAUUAUUUCAAAGUCCUUGACCCUAAUUAUAAUUUAAUUUCCACAGUGGUCAUAUCUCUUGAGAGCAAAAUUGGGAUGAAGGGGACAGUUUUAAAAGGAACAGACUGAAAACAAGUUCUGAAUUUCUUUUUUCAAUCAGACUGGCUCAGUGAGGGAUGAAUGAGUUAUUCUUCCACUAAACGAACACAAAUAAACAAAAGAACAAAGGAAGCCA
rnacentral:lncRNA from 1 species